CUGGCUCAGGAUGAACGCUGGCGGCGUGCCUAAUACAUGCAAGUCGAACGAAACUUCUUUAUCACCGAGUGCUUGCACUCACCGGUAAAGGGUUGAGUGGCGAACGGGUGAGUAACACGUGGGCAACCUGCCCAAAAGAGGGGGAUAACACUUGGAAACAGGUGCUAAUACCGCAUAACCAUAGUUACCGCAUGGUAGCUAUGUAAAAGGUGGCUAUGCUACCGCUUUUGGAUGGGCCCGCGGCGCAUUAGCUAGUUGGUGGGGUAAAGGCUUACCAAGGCAAUGAUGCGUAGCCGAACUGAGAGGUUGAUCGGCCACAUUGGGACUGAGACACGGCCCAAACUCCUACGGGAGGCAGCAGUAGGGAAUCUUCCACAAUGGGCGAAAGCCUGAUGGAGCAACGCCGCGUGGGUGAAGAAGGUCUUCGGAUCGUAAAACCCUGUUGUUAGAGAAGAAAGUGCGUGAGAGUAACUGUUCACGUUUCGACGGUAUCUAACCAGAAAGCCACGGCUAACUACGUGCCAGCAGCCGCGGUAAUACGUAGGUGGCAAGCGUUAUCCGGAUUUAUUGGGCGUAAAGGGAACGCAGGCGGUCUUUUAAGUCUGAUGUGAAAGCCUUCGGCUUAACCGGAGUAGUGCAUUGGAAACUGGGAGACUUGAGUGCAGAAGAGGAGAGUGGAACUCCAUGUGUAGCGGUGAAAUGCGUAGAUAUAUGGAAGAACACCAGUGGCGAAAGCGGCUCUCUGGUCUGUAACUGACGCUGAGGUUCGAAAGCGUGGGUAGCAAACAGGAUUAGAUACCCUGGUAGUCCACGCCGUAAACGAUGAAUGUUAAGUGUUGGAGGGUUUCCGCCCUUCAGUGCUGCAGCUAACGCAAUAAGCAUCCGCCUGGGGAGUCGGCCGGCAUGGUUGAACUCAAAGGAAUUGUCGGGGCCCGCUCAAGCGGUGGAGCAUGUGGUUUAAUUCGAAGCAACGCGAAGAACCUCACCAGGUCUUGACAUCUUAUGACAAUCCUAGAGAUAGGACUUUCCCUUCGGGGACAAAAUGACAGGUGGUGCAUGGUCGUCGUCAGCUCGUGUCGUGAGAUGUUGGGUUAAGUCCCGCAACGAGCGCAACCCUUAUUGUUAGUUGCCAGCAUUAAGUUGGGCACUCUAGCAAGACUGCCGGUGACAAACCGGAGGAAGGUGGGGAUGACGUCAAAUCAUCAUGCCCCUUAUGAUCUGGGCUACACACGUGCUACAAUGGACGGUACAACGAGUCGCAAGACCGCGAGGUUUAGCAAAUCUCUUAAAGCCGUUCUCAGUUCGGAUUGUAGGCUGCAACUCGCCUACAUGAAGUCGGAAUCGCUAGUAAUCGCGGAUCAGCAUGCCGCGGUAAAUACGUUCCCGGGCCUUGUACACACCGCCCGUCACACCAUGAGAGUUUGUAACACCCAAAGCCGGUGGGGUAACCUUUUGGAGCCAGCCGUCUAAGGUGGGACAGAUGACU
rnacentral:rRNA from 1 species